rnacentral:rRNA from 1 species
AACGAACGCUGGCGGCAGGCUUAACACAUGCAAGUCGAACGCCCCGCAAGGGGAGUGGCAGACGGGUGAGUAACGCGUGGGAACAUACCCUUUUCUACGGAAUAGCUCUGGGAAACGGGAAUUAAUACCGUAUACGCCCUACGGGGGAAAGAUUUAUCGGGGAAGGAUUGGCCCGCGUUGGAUUAGCUAGUUGGUGGGGUAAAGGCCUACCAAGGCGACGAUCCAUAGCUGGUCUGAGAGGAUGAUCAGCCACAUUGGGACUGAGACACGGCCCAAACUCCUACGGGAGGCAGCAGUGGGGAAUAUUGGACAAUGGGCGCAAGCCUGAUCCAGCCAUGCCGCGUGAGUGAUGAAGGCCUUAGGGUUGUAAAGCUCUUUCACCGAUGAAGAUAAUGACGGUAGUCGGAGAAGAGGCCCCGGCUAACUUCGUGCCAGCAGCCGCAGUAAUAC